rnacentral:rRNA from 1 species
CCCUAUUAUAAGGAAUAUAAAAAAUAAUACUAGAGUAGUAAUAGUUAUGUUCUUGAAAUUUAAAAAAUUUGGCGGUAUUUUAGUCUUUUCAGAGGAACCUGUCCUAUUAUUGAUGGUCCACGAUUAAUUGUACUUAAUUUAUUAGUUUGUAUACCGUCGUAGGUUGAAUGUCUUUUAAGAGUUGAAAUGUUCAUAAUUUACAAUUUUGUAGAGGAAAUCAGAUCAAGGUACAGUUUAUAAUUAAGAAGAGAUGGGUUACAAUAAAAUUAUUUAUAUGGAUUUGAUAAUUAAAAUUAUUAUUGAAAGUGGAUUUGAUAGUAAUAUAUUUUAGUUAAAAUAUAUGAUUUAAGCUCUAGGAUAUG